AAGUCGUAACAAGGUUUCCGUAGGUGAACCUGCGGAAGGAUCAUUAUCGAAUACACUUGAGCAGGCUGUUGCUGGCCCUUGGGGGGUAUGUGCACGCUUGUCCUUUGUUAUUUCUCCAGCUUGUGCACAUUUUGUAGACCCUGGAGCUUUCAUGGAUUUAAUUUAAAUUCGAGUCGGGACUGCUGUUGCUUCCCUUUGUGAAGCCGGCUUUGCCUUGCAUCUCCAGGUCUAUGUCAUUUUUAUCACAACCUCAUGUUUAGAAUGUUGGAUCAGAAAUGGAAAAAAAAAAUAUACAACUUUCAGCAACGGAUCUCUUGGCUCUCGCAUCGAUGAAGAACGCAGCGAAAUGCGAUAAGUAAUGUGAAUUGCAGAAUUCAGUGAAUCAUCGAAUCUUUGAACGCAUCUUGCGCUCCUUGGUAUUCCGAGGAGCAUGCCUGUUUGAGUGUCAUUUAACUUCUCAAACCGCUUGAUAUGUCAAGUGNCUUGNAUUUGGGGGUCGUUUGCAGGCUUUUUCCAAAGGUCGGCUCCCCUGAAAUGNAUUAGUGNNAUCUGAGCUGCUACUAUAGGUGUGAUAAUUAUCUAUGNCUUUUGGGNAUNCUGUGCACUGCUUAGACGGAAAACAUUUGAUAAAUUUGACCUCAAAUCAGGUAGGACUACCCGCUGAACUUAAGCAUAUCAAUAAGCGGAGGAAAAGAAACUANCAAGGAUUCCCCUAGUAACUGCGAGUGAAGCGGGAAAAGCUCAANUUUGAANUCUGGCGGUUCUUGGACCCGUCCGAGUUGUAAUCUAGAGAAGUGUUACCUGUGCUGGACCGUGUACAAGUCUCCUGGAAUGGAGCAUCACAGAGGGUGAGANNCCCGUCUUUGACACGGACUACCUGUACGAUAUGGUGCGCUCUCGAAGAGUCGAGUUGUUUGGGAGUGCAGCUCAAAAUGGGUGGUAAAUGCCAUCUAAAGCUAAAUAUUGGCGAGAGACCGAUAGCGAACAAGUACCGUGAGGGAAAGAUGAAAAGAACUUUGGAAAGAGAGUUAAACAGUACGUGAAAUUGCUGAAAGGGAAACGCUUGAAGUCAGUCACGUCGGCUGGGAAUCAGCCUUGCUUUUGCUUGGUGUACUUUCUGGUUGAUGGGUCAGCAUCAAUUUUGACCAUCGGAUAAGGUCAUUGGGAAUGUGGCAUCUUAGGAUGUGUUAUAGCCCGUUGUCGCAUACGGUGGUCGGGAUUGAGGAACUCAGCACGCCGCGAGGCCGGGUCUUUUGACCACGUUCGUGCUUAGGAUGCUGGCAUAAUGGCUUUAAUCGACC
rnacentral:rRNA from 1 species